rnacentral:rRNA from 1 species
AGAAUCAACGCUGGCGGCGUGCCUAACACAUGCAAGUCGAACGAGAAAGGGGAGCAAUCCCUGAGUAAAGUGGCGCACGGGUGAGUAACACGUGACUAACCUACCCUGGAGUGGGGGAUAACUGAGGGAAACCUUAGCUAAUACCGCAUAAUACCCACGGGUCAAAGGAGCAAUUCGCUCCAGGAGGGGGCCGCGGCCGAUUAGUUAGUUGGCGGGGUAAUGGCCCACCAAGACGAUGAUCGGUA